rnacentral:antisense_RNA from 1 species
GUACUCAGAAAGGCAAAACAUCUUGCUCAAGGGCUCACAACUAUUUAGGUGGUAGAGCUAAGAUAUGAACCUACCUCUGACACCAAAGUGCACUUCAACACCCUACUAUCACCCAACAAAGAAUUCUGGCCACAGAAUCACCUUGCUGCGGUAUUCCUGACUGAAUCAAGAUACGCUGGGGAAGAGGCAGCUGAAGACAGCCCGGGUUCUGACCUCGGCCCUGCUGCCUAACUGCCUGGCGACUUCAGGUUUUCUAAUCACAGAAUUACUGGAGCGUCAAGAAGCGCCUGCAUGCUUGGAAGGGCUUCCAGGCAGAUGAACACACCUCAGCACCGGGUGGCAGUUUCCCAGGGUGCAACCCGGACCGGCUCUGGGUCACACUGACAAGGAUAACAAGGAUUAACAAUUUCCAGAGACAGCCCGUACAUAGAGGGAAAGUUUACUGAAAAAAAUGAAGAGGGGUCAGGGCAAGGCGAGGAGCAAGAAGCAUCCCCAAGGAAACAGAGAAGACCAGUACAACUGUACCUCUUUGCCAGCUGCACCAUCCGUACCAGUCUCCUGGGGUGGGAGUGUACAGCUCAGAGACUGCCACACUGCAAGACGAAGGGGCUGGAUGGACGGAAGUAAGAGGCGGAACCCUGCACACCCUCGGCCUCAGCCCCACUGAGUCUCCAAUGGGGCCACGCUUCUGAGUGCACCUCCCCCUGUCAUCUGUAAUGUGAGGGGGAACCAGGCUUGAUAUGGCAUUCCCAAUCCAGGGC